rnacentral:sRNA from 1 species
AGUCAGGUAGUCACACUCCGAAAGUGAUCAGCCAUGUUUAGCAACGUAAACACAAUUACUGUUAGCCUACGGAAUACGUAAUUCUUGUUAACCCGAUCAACUAUGGAUUCUCGCUCUGGUGCCCAGGAUGUGCACCGAUGUGACCUUUGUGAGACCGCUAUAGUACACAGCUACUGUGACUUUUGUCAUGUCAACCUCUGCAAGCCCUGUAUAGGUGAACACAUAUCUGAUGAAUAUGACGAACACAAAAUAGUCCCUUUCCUGGAGCGGAAAUCAACCUUGCUUUAUCCGAAAUGUGGAACACAUUCAAAAAAAACUUUGUAAAUUUCAAUGCAUUAAUUGCAAUUACAUCUUUGUUUGCUCCUGUUGUGUUGUAUCUGAAACACAUGCAUGUUUAUAGAACAAAGAAACAAACCAUUGAACGGGAUACAGAAGAAUUAGAAAAUUUAAUUGCUCCUACAUAUGCGGAAAUUGCACUUGAGUUGGAAAAUCAGCUUUCUUACCUGGAUGGAGGAUACCAUAGAAUAUUAACAGAAAUAUCUAAACAAGGAAAGGAAUGGCAUAAAAAUAUCGACAUCGUUAUCAACAAGAUGAAAACUGAAAUCAAUGAGAUAAAAAUGAAACACGUGGAGAUUUUAAAGAAACACUUGGAUGAAGUCAAACAAAUACAGUCCCUAAUAACGCAAACACUACUUGCUCUAAGAGAUAUCAAGCAAUCUAGUGAGGUAUCUUUAACAAUUGGAUACAACUCUAAGAACAGCGAGUUAAAAAAGCUUCCACCUAAGAUCCGUUUAUCCCUGCCAACAUUCAUCCCAAAACCAAAGGACCGCAAAGAGUUGUAUAGGUUGUUUGGACAAAUCAUCCCCUUAUUUACAGCAACAGCAGAGAAAGUCUUGUCACUAAAGCAAAGAAACGUUACAGUUAGAGAAUUCCUUGAUGAACCAGAGAUAUAUGCCAAAAUACAGACUGGACAUAACUUAAUACGCAGUGUUGACUGUCUAAAUGAAAAUCAAAUAUGGACAAGUAGGCUAACAGAUGUAAUUGAAUGCUUUAACAUAGAAGGUAAACUCCUCUAUCAAAACAUUACCAAAUCAGGAAUAGACCCUGAUGAUAUAGCUGUAGACGGGCAUUGGGGUCUACUAUAUACGAUCAAAGAAACAAUGACAGUGUUUAGAGCAAAAAAUGGACGGACAGAAAACUUAAGUUGAUCAGAGUAAAUAGAUGGAAGCUUUGUAAUCUGUGUGUCACCUCUACUUCUGACAUUCUUGUUAUUAUGUACAGUAAUGAUUACACUCAAACCAAACUUGUCCGUUUCUCAGGAUCGACUUUUCAAUUUGAUGAUAAUGGUAAACCUUUGUACUUAGGGAAUCAAGUUUUUAAACACAUCAAUGAGAACAGAAACAAUGACAUCUGUGUAGCUGACUGGAGGGCUGAUGCAGUAGUCGUGGUUAAUCAGGACGGGAAACUCAGAUGGAGAUACACUGGUCAUCCCUCAGUUACCAAGAACGAACCAUUUCAACCCUGGGGUAUCACAACAGACAGUCAGAGUCGUGCACGGACAGCAGACGGUGACAACCAUUGUAUCCACAUUCUGGAUUAAAAUGGACAGUUUCUCCGUUACAUUGAUAACUGUGAUCUAAGGGGUCCUACAGGUUUAUGUGUAGACGAUGAUGACAAUUUGGUUGUUGGUAGUUAUUGUAAAGGCAUAGUAAUGAAAAUCAAGUACUUUAAAUAGAUAGCAAUAUGGCAAUGUGACAUUUUCCCCGGAUACUUUUUACAUUUAAUGUUAACGUAUACAUAUAUACUUACAGAUGUAUACUUCCUUUACAUACGCAUAUAUUACUUUAUUUAUAAUCAGAUGCAAGUGAUUUGGAUAUUAAGUAAUUAAAAGUGUUAUGAAGGGAAAUUCGGAUAUGGAUAAUAUACCAAAGACUUCAUAUAUCUGAAUUUUCUUGGAAUGUCAACCCAUUUAUAGAUAUCAAAUAAAUAGAAUCAGGUAACACAUUAC